GGUUAAAAAUUUCAUCCAUUUGUAUUGUUAAAAACUGGUGUAGCUGAUGAAAUAACUAGACAAUGAGACAUGACGUGCCACAGUACCUCAUGCUGACAUACAUGGACUAAUUUAUUUCAAUAGAAAUAGAUGAAAUUUUUAAUA
rfam:Gossypium raimondii Chr07_contig_524, whole genome shotgun sequence.